AGUAACGGCGAGUGAAGCGGUAACAGCUCAAAUUUGAAAUCUGGCUCUUUUAGGGUCCGAGUUGUAAUUUGUAGAAGAUGCUUUGGGUGUGGCUCCGGUCUAAGUUCCUUGGAACAGGACGUCAUAGAGGGUGAGAAUCCCGUAUGUGACUGGCUGCCUUCGCCCGUGUAAAGCUCUUUCGACGAGUCGAGUUGUUUGGGAAUGCAGCUCUAAAUGGGUGGUAUAUUUCAUCUAAAGCUAAAUAUUGGCCAGAGACCGAUAGCGCACAAGUAGAGUGAUCGAAAGAUGAAAAGCACUUUGGAAAGAGAGUUAAACAGUACGUGAAAUUGUUGAAAGGGAAGCGCUUGCAACCAGACUUGCAUGCCGUCGAUCAUCCUGGGUUCUCCCUGGUGCACUCGGCGGCGUUCAGGCCAGCAUCGGUUUUGGUGGUUGGAUAAAGGCCUUGGGAAUGUGGCUCCUUUCGGGGAGUGUUAUAGCCCUCGGUGCAAUGCAGCCUACCGGGACCGAGGACCGCGCUUCGGCUAGGAUGCUGGCGUAAUGGUUGUAAGCGACCCGUCUUGAAACACGGACCAAGGAGUCUAACAUCUAUGCGAGUGUUUGGGUGUUAAACCCAUACGCGUAAUUAACGUGAACGGAGGUACGAACCCUUUAGGGUGCAGUAUCGACCGGUCCUGAUGUCUUCGGAUGGAUCUGAGUAAGAGCAUAGCUGUUGGGACCCGAAAGAUGGUGAACUAUGCCUAAAUAGGGUGAAGCCAGAGGAAACUCUGGUGGAGGCUCGCAGCGGUUCUGACGUGCAAAUCGAUCGUCAAAUUUGGGUAUAGGGGCGAAAGACUAAUCGAACCAUCAC
rnacentral:rRNA from 1 species